CGGCACCAUUAUUAUAUACUUUGCAGCACAGUCAAAAGAGAGGAAUGCUUGGGCUUUAGUGGUUGUGGCUGCAACUGGUGCUGCAGCUGUGUUAACUGCUAGUGCUUUAGCUAUGGCUACAGCUGUGAUUGUUUUCAUGAUAUUCUUAUCAAUUUUGUUAAUAUAAAUUUUAUUGGUGGCUAAUUAACUAAUUAACAAUUGCAGACACAAAUGAAGGAGCUUGGGGCGCAAUCAAAUGCUACAGAUGAAGAGAUUAUCACACAGGUUCUAGGGCCUGAGCGACCUGGUCGUGUUCGAACAUAUGGAUUAGAUCCUUCUCCAACAAAUGUCUUUGGAGGUGGAUAUAGGCAAUCACAAGAACAAACUCGUAUCAUCCAAGUGCAAGUCCAAGAGCAACUUAGCCAAUAUAAAGCACAAAUGGAGAUGCAAAUGAAGGAGAUGAUGGAUGCUAUGCUUAAUCAACAUAAAUUACAAAUGGAGAUGGAAAGCACAAUCCAAGCUCAACAAGCACGAAUAGAGCAAAUGGAGUCUCAAUAGGCCAUGGGUGGGCCUGUUGCGCUAGCUGCUACACAUGUGCAUUCACAACAACAAUCACAUGCAUACACCUCAUCGUUUAAUUGCCAUCAUUCGUCCGAGGAAGUUCACAUAUCAAAGAUAUGAAAGAAGAAGAAGAAGUAAAUAGGACAAUUUUAAUGAAAGAAGGCAAGGCAUCUAAGCUCCGUGAGAAGUUUGACGCCAACAAGCACGUGGAUUGAAGAGUACAUAUAUUUUGUGUAGUAAAAAUCUCAUGAAAUGUGCAAUUAAUUUGGUUCAUAGACGAGUUGAGUACUUUUAUGUACUUUCCCUAACUCUGUACAACGUUUUAUGAUGUGUUGAUUACAAUAUAUUGGAUGUAUAAAAAUUAUAAUUAGCUUGAUGCAUGGU